GCUUACCCAAGAUGUUGCACAACGAUUGAAGUCAAUAAAUCAAUGAUUAAGUCAAAGUAUGAUAUAUUUGGGCUUGAAGUGGAAAAGUGGGGACAUUGGACUUGUUCCAUGGCAAAGGUGUUUCCCUUAUGAUAUGACACACUAAUACUUUUCAGACUAUGUUUGAAUGUUACCACCCACCAGCAUGGCAAAGUUCUUCUUCUUCGUGACGGAGCCAAAACAGCCUUUUGACAUUCAUUUGCUAUUGCUCUUGCUAUAGCUAUCUGUCUGUCUAUCAUUUAUUGUUUGUGCUUUGUCCAUGUAUCUGUUUGUCUCGGUUUGUAGCUUUAUACAUUCUGUCUGCCUUUCUGUCCAUUUCUGCAAUCCCCCCUAUGAUGCUUGUAGGAUUGCCAGUUACAACACCAAAGACCUGGGAUUGCAUGAGUUGCCCUGCAGACGUCAAGUUUACCAGCAGCCAACGUCAAGUUUACCAGCAGUGGAUACGUUUCCUCGGAUUGGAUGAGCAGGAUGAAACUGUACAGGCAUCAUUUUGAAAUGCGCUUUUCAACCGGGAGUCUUUCUCAAACUAUUUACCGGUGGAGAUGGACUUUCAGAGGAGACUUCGGCUCAAAGAUGAUGCCAUUACGACCAUCUAUCCGGACGGCGAGACUAGUCCCAGACACGCCUGUUCUUAUGGUGAGGAAGUACAUUGUGUAUGAAGACUGCCUGCUGCAGCAGCUUUUCCAAUCCUGUCCAGUUUGCACCAAAGAAUGUGAAAUCACAAAGCAGUUCCAAGUUACUCUGAUCUGCAUUGCCCAGAUUUGCCCUCACUGUGACAACACCAAGAUGUGGACGAGUACAACACCCCUUCAGGCAACCUCCACCUGACUGCAGGUAUAGCUUUCACCGGCUCGUCUUUUGCUCAGACAACAAGUUCCUGAAUGUGCUAAAAGUGCAGACCAUUUGCAAAUAAACCGACUACAGCCAUCAGUGAAAGGUACUGCAUCCAACCACAUACUGGCAGUGGAAGUCGGAGUAGAAAGUCCUCCUCCAGCAGUCUGACGCGGAAGCUGUGGAUCUGAAAGCAGACUCACCUGGCCACUGUGCAACAUUUGUUUUAUGAAAUAUAUUUGCACUCUGUCUGUCUACUUUUGAAUUACAUGUGGACAAAGGCACACACAUGCCUGCAUGUCCUAUGCAUAUUUGCCAAUAAACACACACAUACAAAAUGUCCACACUUCUCUUGAGUUGGACUGACAUUGAUCUCAACCUCUAAAAUCUAACAGGGU